rnacentral:rRNA from 1 species
GUGGGGAAUAUUGGACAAUGGGCGAAAGCCUGAUCCAGCCAUGCCGCGUGUGUGAAGAAGGUCUUCGGAUUGUAAAGCACUUUAAGUUGGGAGGAAGGGCAGUAAGUUAAUACCUUGCUGUUUUGACGUUACCAACAGAAUAAGCACCGGCUAACUUCGUGCCAGCAGCCGCGGUAAUACGAAGGGUGCAAGCGUUAAUCGGAAUUACUGGGCGUAAAGCGCGCGUAGGUGGUUCAGCAAGUUGAAGGUGAAAUCCCCGGGCUCAACCUGGGAACUGCCUCCAAAACUACUGAGCUAGAGUACGGUAGAGGUUAGUGGAAUUUCCUGUGUAGCGGUGAAAUGCGUAGAUAUAGGAAGGAACACCAGUGGCGAAAGCGACUACCUGGACUGAUACUGACACUGAGGUGCGAAAGCGUGGGGAGCAAACAGGAUUAGAUACCCCAGUAGUCC